AACGCGAAGAACCUUACCCAGGUUUGACAUCCUUGGAAUUUCUCCGAAAGGAGAAAGUGCUUUAUUGAGCCAAGUGACAGGUGUUGCAUGGCCGUCGUCAGCUCGUGUCGUGAGAUGUUUGGUUAAGUCCAUCAACGAGCGCAACCCUUAUAGUUAGUUGGAUUUUUCUAGCUAGACUGCCCUGGUAACAGGGAGGAAGGAGGGGAUGAUGUCAGGUCAGUAUUACCCUUAUAUCUGGGGCUACAAACACGCUACAAUGGCCGGUACAAAGGGCUGCCAAGUCGCGAGACGGAGCAAAUCCCAUCAAAGCCGGUCUCAGUUCGGAUAGUAGGCUGAAACUCGCCUGCUUGAAGCUGGAAUCGCUAGUAACGGUGAGUCAGCACAUCACCGUGAAUACGUUCCCGGGCCUUGUA
rnacentral:rRNA from 1 species